rnacentral:rRNA from 1 species
GUGAGUAAUGUAUCGGAACGUGCCUAGUAGCGGGGGAUAACUACGCGAAAGCGUAGCUAAUACCGCAUACGCCCUACGGGGGAAAGCAGGGGAUCGCAAGACCUUGCACUAUUAGAGCGGCCGAUAUCGGAUUAGCUAGUUGGUGGGGUAACGGCUCACCAAGGCGACGAUCCGUAGCUGGUUUGAGAGGACGACCAGCCACACUGGGACUGAGACACGGCCCAGACUCCUACGGGAGGCAGCAGUGGGGAAUUUUGGACAAUGGGGGAAACCCUGAUCCAGCCAUCCCGCGUGUGCGAUGAAGGCCUUCGGGUUGUAAAGCACUUUUGGCAGGAAAGAAACGUCAUGGGCUAAUACCCCGUGAAACUGACGGUACCUGCAGAAUAAGCACCGGCUAACUACGUGCCAGCAGCCGCGGUAAUACGUAGGGUGCAAGCGUUAAUCGGAAUUACUGGGCGUAAAGCGUGCGCAGGCGGUUCGGAAAGAAAGAUGUGAAAUCCCAGAGCUUAACUUUGGAACUGCAUUUUUAACUACCGAGCUAGAGUGUGUCAGAGGGAGGUGGAAUUCCGCGUGUAGCAGUGAAAUGCGUAGAUAUGCGGAGGAACACCGAUGGCGAAGGCAGCCUCCUGGGAUAACACUGACGCUCAUGCACGAAAGCGG